CGGGUGAGUAACGCGUGAGUAACCUGCCUUCAAGAGGGGGAUAACAUUCUGAAAAGAAUGCUAAUACCGCAUGACAUAUCGGAACCACAUGGUUUUGAUAUCAAAGAUUUUAUCGCUUGAAGAUGGACUCGCGUCCGAUUAGUUAGUUGGUGAGGUAACGGCUCACCAAGACCGCGAUCGGUAGCCGGACUGAGAGGUUGAACGGCCACAUUGGGACUGAGACACGGCCCAGACUCCUACGGGAGGCAGCAUGG
rnacentral:rRNA from 1 species